GGGCACUCUUCAUAGUUCCUAGGCAGAGGUCAGUAUUUGGAAUAGUAAUCUGUAGUAAUGUAAGAUUAACAUUUUUACUGAGUUAUUUCUUUAAAAUGACCGCUUGACUUAGUUUUAUUAGCUCAACAGGCAUUAUCAUUAGCAUAUUUUCUAGGACCUUAUUAAUUUUUGUCUUGUUUUGUCCUGAUGGAAGUAUUUCUUCUAGUAUUUACAUGCUAUUUUAAGAUAAAAUAUUUAAUAAUAAAAAUCGCUUGCUGUGUGGUGCUCCGUGCUGUAAUUCCAACCCUCAGAGGAGGCUGAAGCAGGUGGAGUAAGCAUUAGAAGAAGCCUAGGCUGUCUGUGCAGGGAGACUCUUACCUCAGCAAGCCAAGCAGGCUGGGAUCAGUGGUAUACACACGCCGUAACCUGAGCGCGCUCGGGCCGAGGCACUGGCCCUUCUCUCAGUCCCUAUGAGCUUAAGACUAGCCUGGCCUAUAGAGCGAGCUCCAGACCAACCAGGCCUCUCCAGUGAGGGCCUUUCUCAAAAUGUGAAAAUAAGAUGAAACAAAACAAAGGAAAAAAAAGAAAGUGGCCAGGUGUGGUGAGACCCAUCUUUAAUCUUGGCACCCCGAGGCUGAGUCAGACUGCCAGGCUGUAAGGAGGCAGAAGUGUGGAGUUCAGUUCAAGGCCAGCUUGGUCUAUGUAGUAAUAUCCAGGACAGCCAGGGCUAUGAAGAGAGAGCCUGGCUCAAAGAACAAACAAAUAGAAAAAUAAAACAACAGAAAUCCUUGAAAUAAUAAACUUAUUAAUGGCUAGAAGCAAUUGGUUAAUUGGUUUAUAUUUUUCCCCUCUGAGAGGAAAAUAAAAUAAAAUUUGUAAAGUUUUUUUGGAAAAGUUUAUAUUUUGUAUAGAUAUGAUGGUAAGUGUUAGUAUAUGUAACUCUUAAGCGUAAAUGAAAAUUUUCCUGUUGUUUGAGCUAUAAUGUUAGAGAAGAGAUAUCCUGCAUAGACAUUUCACUCACCAAAAUUGAAAGCUACAUUAAUGAUGGUGUUGUUAGUAACUCAAGAUACUCAGUUACAUAACACAGAGAAUUUGGAUGCUGUUAUUGUAAUUAAAAAUCUCUACCUGUACCUUUUAGAACUAUUCAGACUUUUACCUAGAUCUGAAGGAAGUCCAUUUUUGUGAUUGGAUUAUUCUUUUAUGAAACAUCUUAAAUAUUGAGGCUAGCCUUGGAACUCUAUAUGACCCAGUCUGCCUCAAAGUUGGGUUUUUCCUGCUUUAAACUUCUCAACAGUAAAAUUAUGGGCAUGGCCGCUGUGCCUGCUCAUUCCUGCUCAGUAAAAAUUACCAAGUUUGUUGGGACUUGCGAUAAUUCAGUGGUUAUAAGGACUUGUUCUUCAGAGGGGGACCCAGGUUUGAUUCCCAGCAGUUACAUGUAUGGUAGCUUAUAAUGUCUGUAACUCCAGUUUCAGUGGACUUAAUCUAAUGCUUUAUUGUGCCAUGACAUUGGUGGGCACUAGGUAUACAUGUGGUACAUAUACAUACAUGUACUCAAAAUACUCAUGCAUGUUGAAUCGAAUAAAAUAAAUAAAUCUGAAAUGAUAGUUUACAGUAUGGUUAAGAUUGGUUCUUGCUUCCAAAAAAGAUAAGAAUUUUAUUGAAGAUUUUCUAGUUCAUUGAUACAUAGAGUAGAGCUACUUUAGUACUGCUAAAAGUUUUUCAGUGAAAUCAAAUCUUUACUUAAACUUUUAUCUUUUUUUUUUAAAGAUUUAUUUAUUUAUUUAUUAUAUGUAAGUACAUUGUAGCUGUCUUCAGACACUCCAGAAGAGGGGGUCAGAUCUUGUUACGGAUGGUUAUGAGCCACCAUGUGGUUGCUGGGAUUUGAACUCUGCACCUUCUGAAGAGCAGUCGGGUGCUCUAACCCACUGAGCCAUCUCACCAGCCCCAACUUUUAUCUUUAUUAUGGGUUAUGGGCAUUUUGAUGGCAUGUAUAUAGCUGUAUUAUAUGUGCCUCUGCUGCCCAUCUGGGCCUGAGAGGCAGUUGGAUCUCUUGGAACUGGAGUUGGACAUAGUGCUGAGCUGCCUUAGAUGGGUGCAAGGAAUCGAACCCAUGUCCUUAACCAAUGCUGUUAACCUCUGAGCUCUCUCUCUAGCCACUCUUUAAAAUCUUUCUCAGCCGUGUAAAUAUGAACAUUUUUAUUUCAAUUUUAAUAGGUGGAGAGAGAAGGAAUACUAAUACAGUGAGAUGAUAUAAUUUAGAAAGAUGACUUUAUGUUGUCUACGGCCAUAACAUUUGAAGUCAUAUACUUUUAUCAAAUCUAAGGUGCUACUGAUUUUGUACCAUUACUUAUGUAUAAGUAAGAGAAAAAUGUCAAAUAUUAAGGCUUUACUUGAGGUUCUGCUUUCAUACAAAUGAAAAUAGAGAUAAUAUAUACACCUUGAAUUGAAGAAAAUGCAACUAUUCUCCCCCAAUGUCUUGGAUUGCUUUAAAAAUCUAUAUACAUAUAUAAUUUCAUAUUCCUGAUCUAUUUUGUGUUUGGGUGUACGUGUCCACAUUCACAUGCUUGGUACAGUGCCCAUGUAGCAAUCAGAAGACAACCAGAGAGUUGGUUUUCUCCUUCUACUAUAUAGGUCCUGGGGAUUGAACUUGGGGACAAAUACCUUUUCCAUUAAAGUUCUCGUGCCAACCCACUUGAACUAAUUUUCAGGUGAUUUUACCUUAUAGGAAGGAAUGCUUGCUUUUAUGCUUUCUUCAUGUGUUUUUGUUUGAAGGUGUGUAUCAAUAAUUAUUUAGACUUAUUUUUAUAAUAUAACAGUAAGUUAGUGUACAAAAUAAAAAUGUUAUUUAACAAAAGAAACCAUGCUGUAAUGUGGUUUACCUAUAAAAGACCAACUUCUUUUUCAGUAUUCUGAUGCCUCCACCCAAAUCUGAGAAAGAAAAAGAUCCUUAAGCACCCAUUUAUUUACCUGAGUGCAGAGGGUGAGGCUCAAGUUCAUGUUUGUGCAGCAGGCACUUUACCAAGUGAGCUGACUCCCAAGUUCUAUUGUCUGUUCUUUUAGAACUAAAUUUAUCUGUAAAACCCUGGGUAGAAAGUUACAGUAGUUCAGUUCUGUUAGAAACGCAGACUUGAAAAUAGGGGGCACUUAUGAGUUUAGAGUAGCAUUCUUAACCUGUGGGUGGAAACUCCUUUAAGGGUCUAAUGACCUUUUCACAGGGGUUGCCUAAGACUAUCCAAAAAUAGAUAUUUACAUUAUGAUUCACAACAGUAGCAAAACUACACUUAGGAAGUUGCAAUGAAAAUAAUUUUCUGGUUGGGGAACAUCACAACACGAGGAACUGUGUUAAAGGGCCACAGCAUUAGGAAGGCUGAGAGCCACUGGUUUAGAGG
rnacentral:lncRNA from 1 species